CCAAGGAGUCUAACAUGUACGCGAGUGAUUGAGAAUGUAAACUCAAACGCGUAAUGAAAGUGAAGAUUCAUGUACAUGAAUUGAGGAGAGAUCAUGUCAAUAUUUGAGGCUCUGCAAAGAGUUUUGAAUAGUUUGUAUGCGCACCUCCUGGACGUCUAUACCUUCGAAGGUUGGGCGUACCUAGAGCGUACAUGCUGGGACCCGAAAGAUGGUGAACUAUGCCUGGUCAGAACGAAGCCAGGGGAAACUCUGGUGGAGGUUCGUAGCGAUUCUGACGUGCAAAUCGAUCGUCGGAACUGGGUAUAGGGGCGAAAGACUAAUCGAACCAUCUAGUAGCUGGUUCCCUCCGAAGUUUCCCUCAGGAUAGCUGGCGCUUUUAUUACCAGUCUCAUCCGGUAAAGCGAAUGAUUAGAGGCCUUGGGGCCGAAACGACCUCAACCUAUUCUCAAACUUUAAAUGGGUGAGUUAUUAAGCUUGCUUGAUCGAAGCUUAGAUUUGGAUGGUGAGUGCCAAGUGGGCCACUCUUGGUAAGCAGGACUGGCGCUGUGGGAUGAACCAAACGUUGGGUUAAAGCGCCCGAAUCGACGCUCAUGAGAUCCCAGAAAAGGCGUUGGUUGCUUAAGACAGCAGGACGGUGGCCAUGGAAGUCGGAA
rnacentral:rRNA from 1 species